rnacentral:misc_RNA from 1 species
AUACUCAACAGCCAUAUGGUGGAGGAUAUCGAUGAGAUUGAUCCACUUUGUGAUGAUGUUGAAGUGUAAUGAAAUAUCAGUUGUCUUUGAGACACAGAUGGCAUAGCACCCAGUGUUACAGUUGAACAUGCAUAGUAGUCUCAUAUAUGGUCUAGGAUGUAUUUUGGGUCAUAGUUGUAACAUUAUGACAUGCAGCUUGAUGUGUAUCCAUCAGCCUCAAUAUCUCACUAUUGGUUGCAAUAUCAUUCAUUUU